CGCUCGGGUCCCCUUCCACAUCGUGGAAGCUUUGUUCUUUCGCUCUUUGCAAUAAAUCUUGCUACUGCUCACUCUUUGGGUCCACGCUGCUUUUAUGAGCUGUAACACUCACCGCGAAGAUCUGCAGCUUCACUCCCGAGCCAGCGAGACCACGAACCCACCAGAAGGAAGAAACUCCGAACACAUCUGAACAUCAGAAGGGCAGACUCCAGACACGCCACCUUAAGAGCUGUAACACUCACCGCGAGGGUCCACGGCUUCAUUCUUGAAGUCAGUGAGACCAAGAACCCACCAAUUCCGGACACAAUUUCUUGGCUCUCAGUGGUAAGCCCCACAUGGAAAUAUAAUCUACUUUUUUCUAAUUUCAGUUUUCUUUCCUAUAAUAUAUUUUGGUUUUGGUUUAUUAACUUACAUUUGUUAAGCUAUUCCCCAUUGGUGGCAGCAAUGAUUGAAAUCUGAUUUUAACAUGGCUGACGCCUGUAAUCCCAGCACCUUGGGAAGCCAAGGCGGGCAGAUCAUUUGAGGUCAGGAGUUCCAGACCGGACUGGACAACAUGGCGAAACUCUGUCUCUAAUAAAAAUACAAAAAUUAGCCAGGUGUAGUGGCGCAUGCCUGUAGUUCCAGCUACUCAGGAGGCUGAAUUAGGAGAAUCUCUUGAACCCAGGAGGCAGAGGUUGCAGUGAGCUGAGAUAGCGCCACUGCAGUUCAGCCUGGGCAACCCUGUCUCAAAUUAAAAAAAAAAAAAAAAAUCUAAUUUUCCAAUUUUAUCCUCUGAAUAUUUGUUAAAUGGAUUAAUAAUUUAGAGAUAGCAACGUUCUGUUGGAUGAGAGGUAAUGAAAUAUCUCUGCUCAGCUAGUGUUUUUUGUUUGUUUCUCCAUUUAAGCUCAACUCAGUUAAGAAUCCUAUGCCCCUUGGGAAGGACAAUAGUUUUUUGAUACAAGAACCAAUGACAUUUUUAUGGUUUUGUACUAAGUCGUGACCCAUGAUGGAAAUUAUGGAAUUAAAGCUAUAAUCUCUUUGUGUGUUU
rnacentral:lncRNA from 1 species